CCUACGGGUGGCAGCAGUGGGGAAUAUUGGACAAUGGGCGAAAGCCUGAUCCAGCCAUGCCGCGUGUGUGAAGAAGGCCUUCGGGUUGUAAAGCACUUUCAGUGGGGAAGAAAGCCUUGGGGCUAAUACCCUCGAGGAAGGACAUCACCCACAGAAGAAGCACCGGCUAACUCCGUGCCAGCAGCCGCGGUAAUACGGAGGGUGCGAGCGUUAAUCGGAAUUACUGGGCGUAAAGCGCGCGUAGGCGGUCUGAUAAGCCGGUUGUGAAAGCCCCGGGCUCAACCUGGGAACGGCAUCCGGAACUGUCAGGCUAGAGUGCAGGAGAGGAAGGUAGAAUUCCCGGUGUAGCGGUGAAAUGCGUAGAGAUCGGGAGGAAUACCAGUGGCGAAGGCGGCCUUCUGGACUGACACUGACGCUGAGGUGCGAAAGCGUGGGUAGCAAACAGGAUUACAUACCCGAGUAGUC
rnacentral:rRNA from 1 species